rnacentral:rRNA from 1 species
UGAGCAAUCUGCCCUUCUCUUCGGAAUAAGCGUUGGAAACGACGUCUAAUGCCGAAUACGACCUCCUUUCGCAUGAUCGGAGGUGGAAAGCUCCGGCGGAGAAGGACGAGCUCGCGGCCUAUCAGCUAGUUGGUGUGGGUAAUGGCCCACCAAGGCGACGACGGGUAGCCGGCCUGGGAGGGUGACCGGCCACACUGGGACUGAGACACGGCCCAGACUCCGUACGGGAGCAGCAGGU